UCUCUGGCACUCCAGCAUAUCCAGCCUGUGCACUAAGCCCUUCUUCCACUGGAGGGAAGUACAGGCAGCUGAGGCUGGUGACUGCUGCUUCACACCGCACAGAUCUGACACAAGUCACGCCUGAGACAGCCGACUACGGUCUGGAAAGACUGUCCUCCGGCAAGCAUGCCGGGGAGGCAUGCUGACCACUAGCGCCAUGUCUCAGAAGGGAAGCUGGUAACUCCAGUGUCCGCUCUGCCAUUCCUCUUCAGUCCUGUGUGUGUGGCUGACAGCACCAGAUACCCCAGCUAUGCCAACGUGGCAGCUUCCAGUGCUGGUGGAAGCAGAAAGUGAAGAUCAUUUGUGCUGAAUCAGAGUGGUUAGGAAGCAUGUGGAUGCCUCCGCUCAACUGCGUGGAUGAUGGCCAGUACUGCUGACAGAAUGAGAUGCAGCCGGCAUUCCUGAGCAUCAGCUGUCCUGGAAGCCAGAGGUCCGCUCGGCAGAGUGGCCAUCUGGCUG